CAACGAAAAGAAAGAUCCCCAUAAGAAUGGAGGACGUGCGCGGAUCAACUCUCCAUUUGCGCACGUCUAGGCCCAGGAGCGAGCGCGGACCCGAGCGCGAGCACAGACCGGGUACUCUUGCGCACGGGUUCGAAUACCCGAACCAUCGGGUUGGCCUCAUUUUUCAUAUCAAUUUUCUAUACUGUUUGUUGACGGAUGGUCGGCUCGCGUCGGCGCUGACCAGAAUCGCAGUUGACCGACCAUCAGCCGAAACCCAGACGACCGACCAAUCUAAUGUAGUCGGUCGACAGGAGCGGGCAUCGGGCACAAACUUUUUGUGCUUCCUCUGCGGGCGGGGAAGGAACCAGGUCUGGCCACGAUGGGCGUCUGCUAUUGGUUCCGGAACCAAUGUCUUCCCUCGGCACCGUGUGCCGGAGCGCUUGCUUGCUCUCGUGUGUCGUCCCUUGAGCGCAGAACUGCGCUUUUGCCAAACAAUAAACUCAGCCUCUCACACUAGAGCAAAGAUCCAAACCCUGUCCACCGAUGCAGGCUCCCCAACCCGUUGUUGCCGAUCGCCAAAAGGCAAAGCCCAGGUACUCGCGGGCGCUCGCAUAAACACACCUCCCGUGAUUUUUUCGGUUCUCACAUUUUUUCUUUACGCAGACACACGCAGAGCACAAAAGAUUUUGAGGUCAUGCUGGCCGCCGAGACAGAGCACCAAAGGAAGCAGUGGGUGCCCGAUGAUCAGUACGAGGCCUGCUUCAAGCAUUUCUUUGGUCCUCCCGAUUCCGUCCCCUCGCAAGAAUAGGCAACCUUUGGUGAUCGAAUAAACAGCGAGAGGUCGUC
rnacentral:lncRNA from 1 species